rnacentral:rRNA from 1 species
UACGUAGGGGGCAAGCGUUGUCCGGAUUCAUUGGGCGUAAAGCGCACGCAGGCGGCCCGGCAAGUCGGUCGUGAAAUCCUCCGGCUCAACUGGAGGGGGUCGGCCGAAACUGUCGGGCUUGAGGUCGGAAGGGGGAAGCGGAAUUCCCGGUGUAGUGGUGGAAUGCGUAGAUAUCGGGAGGAACACCAGUGGCGAAGGCGGCUUCCUGGUCCGACUCUGACGCUGAGGUGCGAAAGCGUGGGGAGCGAUCCGG